UGUACGUGAUCAGGGAAGGCUCUAGAGAGCCAAACCCUAGUUCAUCAUAUAUCAACCAAUUGAAGCAUGAAUCGAGGCUCAAAUUCAAGAAGGAACAUGAAUUAACGAUCACCCAAGUUAGGGGAUCAUAAGGAAUCAUGUCAAGAUGGAUGGGAGCUUUGAAGGCUAACGGGCUAAGAGGACUCAAUCAAGUAAGCGAACGAGAAUACGGACGCGCAAGGCUAUACAUGUUUGGAUGUUUCAUCUAGAAGCGUACGCGGUUGAAGAUCGAGUCAAGACACGGAUUGUAUGUGGGUGUAUACGUAGUCACUUAAUUGAGUCAUGUAUGUUAGUUUUUGCAUUAAAUUAUAAAAGAGAUUAAUGUAUUUAAAUGAAAGAAAGAAUAUC
rnacentral:lncRNA from 1 species